rnacentral:rRNA from 1 species
GACGAACGCUGGCGGCGUGCUUAACACAUGCAAGUCGAACGAAGAGCGAUGGAAGCUUGCUUCUAUCAAUCUUAGUGUCGAACGGGUGAGUAACGUGUAAUCAACCUGCCCUUCAGAUGGGGACAACAGUUGGAAACGACUGCUAAUACCGCAUACGAUCUAAUCUCUGCAUCGAGGAUAGAUUCAAGGUGUCCUCUACAUGUAAGCUAUCACUGAAGGUGGGGAUUGCGUCUGAUUAGCUAGUUGGAGGGGUAACGGCCCACCAAGGCGAUGAUCAGUAGGCGGUCUGAGAGGAUGGACGGCCACAUUGGGACUGGGACACGGCCCAGACUCCUACGGGAGGCAGCAGUGGGGAAUCUUCCGCAAAGGACGAAAGUCUGACGGAAGAACGCCGCGGGAGUGAUGACGGCCUUCGGGUUGUAAAGCUCUGUUAAUCGGGACGAAAGGCCUUCUUGCGAAUAGUGAGAAGGAUUGACGGUACCGGAAUAGAAAGCCACGGCUAACUACGUG